UACAGAGGGUGCGAGCGUUAAUCGGAAUUACUGGGCGUAAAGCGCGCGUAGGCGGCUUUGCAAGUCGGGUGUGAAAUCCCCAGGCUUAACCUGGGAACUGCAUUCGAGACUGCAUUGCUAGAGUAUGGGAGAGGGAAGUGGAAUUUCCGGUGUAGCGGUGAAAUGCGUAGAUAUCGGAAGGAACAUCAGUGGCGAAAGCGACUUCCUGGGACCAAUACUGACGCUCAUGUGCGAAAGCGUGGGGAGCAAACAGG
rnacentral:rRNA from 1 species